rnacentral:rRNA from 1 species
CCUCUUGAAGAAAAUGUAGUAACGAGGUGUCCGUAGGACAACCUGCGGAAGGAUCAUUAACGAAUAAACCUCGGUGGGUUUGAUGCUGGCCCCUUGGGGCAUGUGCACCGCCUGUCGUUCUUUAUUUCUUCUCCACCUGUGCACCCUUUGUAGGCUUGAACCGCUUUCUUUGGCCUUUGGGUCAGUGUUGGGGACUGCUGAAUGGCUAUCCCCUACCGUUCGAGUCUAUGUUUUUUACACUAUACACCAUUGUUAAACCUAGAAUGUCAAAGGCUCUAUGUGUGCCUAUCUAAACGCUAUACAACUUUCAGCAACGGAUCUCUUGGCUCUCGCAUCGAUGAAGAACGCAGCGAAAUGCGAUAAGUAAUGUGAAUUGCAGAAUUCAGUGAAUCAUCGAAUCUUUGAACGCACCUUGCGCUCCUUGGUAUUCCGAGGAGCAUGCCUGUUUGAGUGUCAUUACAUUCUCAACCGUUUGAAUUUUGCUAUUUGAACGGCUUGGACUUGGGGGUACUUGUGCCGGCCCUAAAGGUCGGCUCCCCUUAAAUGCAUUAGCUGGUCGCCCCUCUCGCGUUGACUUGGUGUGAUAAUUCUAUUUGCACCGCUUUGGCGUGGAUGCUUUUUGGGAGGCUGCUUUCUAACCGUCCCUUGUGGACAGUAGUCUCUUUCAUUAGAAAGAGCAAUGACAUCUCUUGACCUCAAAUCAGGUAGGACUACCCGCUGAACUUUAAUAUACAUUUUAUUCGAGGGGGAAGAA